AACCACAUAAAUAAAUGUGUAUUUCCAAAUGAGUGGACCAGAAAGUAGACUUGGGAAGCCCUGAGGGUGAGGAUGGGGGACCAGCCCAGUCUUUUACUAGAGCCAGUGGAUCCAAGCUCCUGGGUCUGAUACAUAGCUUCCCCCUAAGAUUUUUCUAGGUUAUAGGACCUAUAGGUCCUUUGUACCUGAUGCUGAGAAGGAAAUCAUCAGGGCUUACUCCCUCCUGGGCACACCCCAUCUGUUCUGGCUUAGCUCUCUGCAGGCUGCUCCGACCUCUGUGAGAAUCAGGGAAGAGGCCAAUGUGCCACUCUAUCGAUAUCCCAGGGCCGGUGGACCAGCGAGCUUUGGAAAAUAGUCCUUCUACUGAUCUAUGCCCAUAGAUGAAUGUUACAACUACACACAUAAUGUUUGUGGAAGGCAAAGACCAGCAAACACCCUCACGUGGCAGCCUGGCAGCCUACUGACCCUGAGAGUCCCAUUGCUACGAUGCUGAGUCACAAAAACAACACAAUGGUCUUCCAAAUGGACAGAAUGACUCUGGGGAACAGUUGUGGUUCUCCCUCAAUCCCCGGUGUGGCACUGGUUGUAAGGCCCUUACCCAGGGACAAAAGUGGAGUCCAUUGCUUUGGGGUUCCAAGUAGACAAUGUUGGGGAGGGAGUUAUAUGUGUGUGUAUCCACUCUGUCCAUGGAUCUCAGAUAGGACUGACCCUUACCUUUGAUGUACUCUGGUCCUGACCCAAAGAAGUUUCAGAUACAACAAACGUUUACUGAGCCCCUACAAAGUUCCAAGCCUUUUACUUUAUACUUUGACACAUUUUAUAUCAUUUAAUCUUUAACAAUAACCCUUUAAGGUAGGAAUUAUCUGCAUUAUACAGAUGAGAAAACAAUCGCAAAGAGGUUCAUUGAUUUGCUCAAGUAUAUCAUACAGCUUUUUUUUUUUAAACACUCACACACUAUACUUUUAGCUGAGGCCUGUCUGUGUUGGUUGCUUAUCUUACAGUAUUUUUUUUUGUCUUCUCUACUUUUGGAGCAACUUUUCCCCUUAUGCAAGCCCCCUUCUUUCUUCUUUCACUAGCCCCAUGGGCUCUUUUUUUUUUUAUUAAUACUGCAUUUAAUAGCACAAAAAAUCACGAAUACAAAGAAACUGGCAAAGGUGUUUGUCAAUGAGAUAUCCUUGCCUCCUCCACUUUUCUGCUUUCAUACCCAUACAGGUAAUGGGCUACAUUUGUAUAGACUUUUCUUUCCCCCUCCAAACAUAUAACUGUUAUGUGAUUGGUCAGUUGAAGCUGAAACACCCAUGGAGAAAGAUGUUUUAUGGUUACAAGGGCACACACCCCCCCCACACACACCACCCCCCACCCACCCCACACUUUCCCACACAAUCUUUUGGAGGAAUAUAGGAUAUGUACCAGUGUCAGGAUUUCCCUGCUCCUGCCUUCUCCGCCUAGAGCAUUCCUGCCAUUGAAUUCUCCUUUAAGUGACCAUUUAGACUAGAGCCUCUUCUCCCGCCCCGUCUAUUUCUCUUCCAACCGUGACCUUUGAGACACUGGGUACUGUUCAAUUCUUACUCUGUCAGGCCCAUGGGCCAUGCAAGUAGGUCCUUUAAAUCUCGAUGCCACUUGUAGUACAGGUGUCGCCAUCUUCCAUUGCAGGUGGGUCUGUGUAUCACUUCAGUAGGCUUGUGUAUUCAUUUCUUUCACUUUUUCUGACUCGUGCUCCAGGACCUGUUUGUGAUAGAACAGUAAAUACCCUUCACUGUCCAGCACGUCCUUAAUACUGGCCUUGGUGAUGACGGCAUCAUCACACUUGAACCACUGGUCCUUGUGGUGCCGGAUGAAGCUGGUGUAAUGGCCGCUCUCCAAGGUUCCUUGGUGAUUAACCACAGCAAACAAGGAAUACUUAUUCUCGUCGUUUCCACUAUUGGUUGGCAGCUGCAACUGUCCAUUCAUCCUACUCUCUUUACUUGAGGCCAUAAAUGGGGUCAUAUCCAGCUCCAGAGGAAAGGAUAUAUAUGUAGUGAUCUUGCGCCUCUGUUUGGCAGAGUGUUCGAACCGUUUGAAAUGAAAACAGGCAACAACAGGUAAUUUAUUCAUCGUGAGUUGCUUGGUAGACUCCUGGUAGCUUUGGCAACUACCGCACUUGAUUUUGGCACUGCUUCCCAAGUGCUCUGGCCUUGUAAACCUUCGCAAGCAGUCUGUGAGGGUGGUGAUUCCUGGGAUGUGGCUCUCCCCAUUCACACUGCUCUCCCUCCCUGGGCUCAUGGGCCAGAAGGAGGUGCACGAGCCAGGCAAGUCCAAACUGAUGUCCCAGCAUGGGUCUAUGGUGGUGGAGACACCAUGGCAGGCUUGACAGGUGACAUCCGACUGCAGGCCACCUGUGAAGAUUUGGUCUAUGAUGCAGUUACAGUGGUUGGGAUUGUUGGCAGCUUUCCCAGCAUCAUCGCCUUUGCAGUGCCUGUGCAGGACGUCUAAGGCUGCAAUGAGGAAUUCGUGGGCAUCCUGCUGCCUGUACCCUGCUAAGUGGCGUGCAUGUAUCCAUACCAGGUGCAGCAACUUAUAAGGAACGUGAGGAGACGGGUUUCCAGAGUACAACUCCCGAAAGAGUGAAGACAUCUCGCAGACCAGACACAGCUCAGGACUCGGCAUCUCACACCUGUGCCUGUCAGAGAGGAAGAAAUCUCUCAGUAUGGGAGUAUGGGUAAGGGCCUGGACGAUGCAGUUCAUAAAGCACGUGUUGCCAAGAUUGAUCAGUCCUCUCAGACCGAUGGUAAAGCUGGAGGUGAUCCUUCUUCUCCUCGGAUUGUACCCCAGCAGUUCUAACUCGGGUUUGGUCAUCUCCCAGGUUGGAUAUUUCUCACCGAGUCCCAUCACUGAACACUGCUGGUGAGAAACCUCGGUUGAGGUGGAGGCUUGUAAUUUCAAAGCUUCUCCUUGCUCUUCUUUGGCAAUUUGCUCAAUGUCUUUGUCAUACACAUAAUCCUUACACAUAAAGCAGUAUAUACCUCCGUAAUAAAGGUCUACGGCUAAGUUGUGUUGUUUUGUCUCGGCGUGCUCGUGAAUGUGUUUCUCGGUGAAGCAGCCAAAGAAGACACAGGAAAGGCAAGAGUGAAGUCUGUUCAAAUGGGUGCCACACACAUGGCAGAUGCACGACUUUGCCUUGCUUUUCCUGGUCUCUGGGGUUCCACACCACACGAAGCACUGGUAGAUCACCCGCAGUUCCUGCCUCCAGUUCUCUCCCACCUUAAAGCUGUUCACGUGGGAACAGCCUGGUGGACCCACAGCGAAAUCCACAUCCAGGCAUCCGACCCCAGGGCCGCGCCGGGGCCGGGGCCGGGGCGGGGGCCGUGGCCUAGGCUGCGGCGGGGUACGGAGUCGGGUCUGUGGCCGUGGCCGGGGUCGGCGGCGGGGGGCACGACUGCGCCGAGGAGAGGGAUCGGGGGGCCGCGGGGGGUCGGAGGGAAGGGUGGGGGGAGGAACCUCGUCGCUGCUGCCGCCACCGCCGCUCCGCGCCGGGUUCUCAUCCUCCAGCUCCUGCUUCGGCUCCCCCUUCGGCUCCUGCUCCGCCUCCGGUACCGGCUCGGGUUCGGGCUCCAGCUUGAGCUCAACCCGGCGGCCCGGACCCUCUGCUGUCUCCACCUUCCCGGCGGCGUCCACCUUCCCCGCCGCCUCCACCUUCCCCGCCGC
rnacentral:lncRNA from 1 species